GGAUAGCUCAGUCUGUAGAGCAUGAGACUCUUAAUCUCAGGGCUGUGGGGUCAAGUCCUGUGUUGGGCA